CUCUAACUUUGUCCCUUUGUCCAAAUGACCUCCUUCACCAGCCUGGUUCAGUCGUCUCCAGCCUCCCCCAGAGGUUCCCAAAGCCUCAGUUCAGGGACCCCUGCUUCCCUGCCUGUGCUUUUUCUGGCUAGCAGUGCACUCAGACAGGGUCAGGCCUCCGAAUCCCCCCAACCUCCGCCCUCAGCCGGGCUGGUAGUCUGGCUGGCUCUGUGAAAGGGAAAUGGAGGAAAGGUAGAGGCCCUAGUCUCUUGUCCUCUGAACCUCAGUGACCUAGUUGGGUAGCCUAGGAUUGUCAUUUGAGUAGCUGUCCUGGGAAGCGGUGGGCUGGGGGGGGAGGGAAGAAAGAUCAACUCAUUUUUUCCCACGCACCUCCUUGCGCACCCCCAGGAAUGCGCACUAACAACCACAUGCAUGUGCAUUCGCGCACGCCUGAGCGUUCACACAUGGAUACGCCCACUUGUUCGUCCUUACACGCCCAGGAGGUCCCUGGGACAACUGAGAAAGCGUGGUCUGGGCCUUUCCCUUGCCUCCUCAGGUCGUCCUUGGUUCAGGCUCUAGGAUGAGAACCUUUUCACAUCUCUUACUGGAUGUCCACUCUGGAGCGGACAACACAGUGGGAAAGACUGGAAGUCCGCAGUGUACUGGGGAGCAAGGCCCAGGGAACCGGAGUCACACCCGCGCAGCGUCGGUAGCUCUUGCGGCUGCUCUGGCGGCGGCGCCUGCGUUCGCCUGCGCCGGCUUUUAGGGAUGAGUUAUGUGGCAACGAGCGAAGUAAAUCUGCAUGCGCAAAAGAUGCUAAUUACUCUUAAUAGCCUACCCAGACGCCCCGAGACUGGAAACCCAGAAACGAAGAAGAUCCACCUCCGCCCCAGCGUGUAAAGAUCCGGGUGUGUGUGCCUAUGGCAGCCGAAGGGUGGGUCUCAGGCUCCAAACAUAGGAGGAAGGAAGUGGAAGCGUGUGCUUGGAUGCGGGACUGGUCUGGAGAUCCAGGCCUUCUGAGUUCCUGGGUCUGGGGAGAGGCUGGUGCAUCCAGAUCUCACAAGGAGCUCCAGUUCCCUAGGCCUAAUCCAGCGCCGUCGCCUGCUGGUCGGAUCUCGAUUUCCUAG
rnacentral:lncRNA from 1 species